rnacentral:rRNA from 1 species
UGCGUAGGCGGUCCGACAAGUCAGAGGUGAAAUGCACGAGCUUAACUGGUGAAUUGCCUUUGAAACUGUCGAGCUAGAAUUAUGUUGAGGUCAGCGGAAUGAGUCAUGUAGCGGUGAAAUGCAUAGAUAUGACUUAGAACACCAAUUGCGUAGGCAGCUGGCUAGGCAUUAAUUGACGCUGAGGCACGAAAGCGUGGGGAGCGAACAGGAUUAGAUACCCUGGUAGUCC